rnacentral:rRNA from 1 species
UUCGCCCUUAGAGUUUGAUCCUUGCUCAGGACGAACGCUGGCGGCGCGCCUAACACAUGCAAGUCGAACGAGCGAGAGAGAGCUUGCUUUCUCGAGCGAGUGGCGAACGGGUGAGUAACGCGUGAGGAACCUGCCUCAAAGAGGGGGACAACAGUUGGAAACGACUGCUAAUACCGCAUAAGCCCACGGUGCCGCAUGGCACAGAGGGAAAAGGAGCAAUCCGCUUUGAGAUGGCCUCGCGUCCGAUUAGCUAGUUGGUGAGGUAACGGCCCACCAAGGCGACGAUCGGUAGCCGGACUGAGAGGUUGAACGGCCACAUUGGGACUGAGACACGGCCCAGACUCCUACGGGAGGCAGCAGUGGGGAAUAUUGCACAAUGGGGGAAACCCUGAUGCAGCGACGCCGCGUGGAGGAAGAAGGUCUUCGGAUUGUAAGCUCCUGUUGUUGGGGAAGAUAAUGACGGUACCCAACAAGGAAGUGACGGCUAACUACGUGCCAGCAGCCGCGGUAAAACGUAGGUCACAAGCGUUGUCCGGAAUUACUGGGUGUAAAGGGAGCGCAGGCGGGAAGACAAGUUGGAAGUGAAAUCUAUGGGCUCAACCCAUAAACUGCUUUCAAAACUGUUUUUCUUGAGUAGUGCAGAGGUAGGCGGAAUUCCCGGUGUAGCGGUGGAAUGCGUAGAUAUCGGGAGGAACACCAGUGGCGAAGGCGGCCUACUGGGCACCAACUGACGCUGAGGCUCGAAAGUGUGGGUAGCAAACAGGAUUAGAUACCCUGGUAGUCCACACCGUAAACGAUGAUUACUAGGUGUUGGAGGAUUGACCCCUUCAGUGCCGCAGUUAACACAAUAAGUAAUCCACCUGGGGAGUACGACCGCAAGGUUGAAACUCAAAGGAAUUGACGGGGGCCCGCACAAGCAGUGGAGUAUGUGGUUUAAUUCGACGCAACGCGAAGAACCUUACCAAGUCUUGACAUCCCUUGACAGACAUAGAAAUAUGUAAUCUCUUCGGAGCAAGGAGACAGGUGGUGCAUGGUUGUCGUCAGCACGUGUCGUGAGAUGUUGGGUUAAGUCCCGCAACGAGCGCAACCCUUAUGGUCAGUUACUACGCAAGAGGACUCUGGCCAGACUGCCGUUGACAAAACGGAGGAAGGUGGGGAUGACGUCAAAUCAUCAUGCCCUUUAUGACUUGGGCUACACACGUACUACAAUGGCGUUAAACAAAGAGAAGCAAGACCGCGAGGUGGAGCAAAACUCAGAAACAACGUCCCAGUUCGGACUGCAGGCUGCAACUCGCCUGCACGAAGUCGGAAUUGCUAGUAAUCGUGGAUCAGCACGCCCCGGUGAAAACGUUCCCGGGCCUUGCACA